rnacentral:misc_RNA from 1 species
AGCAAACCUCUGUAUUCUAUAUAUUUAUUUGUUUAAAGUGACUACCAGACUCAAAAUUUCAAGUCUCUAUCUACUUGGACAGAAAAGGAGGGGGGAGAAAAAGAGGGAACGCAUGAGAGAAGAACAACAUUAAAUUAUAAAGGAUGAUGUGACGCUUUGCAUUCAACAUACAGCAAGACGCAAGAAUGAGUCUCAAUUAUCGGAAACUAUUCUCUUCAGACUUGGAUCAAAUAGAUAAUCAUCUUGUAGUGCACUUAUUUUUGAAGGAACCUCUUGGGGUCGCCUUUGGUUUGGCGGAUGAGAAAUUGUAUCGACCUUGGAUUCGUAAAUUAACACAACCUCACAUUGAAAAACUUCAGAUUUCAUGGGGUUGCUUUGAGGGUGAUAAGCUAGUUGGCCUAAUAUUGAAUAAUAUUCAACACAAGGAUACAAAUAAAAACAUUGCCUCGAUUGGGGAUGCUCUAAAACAUGAAUCCUUGGAUCAUCCACUUCAUAAAGUAGAUACAUUUAUUGUUCAUAAUCUGUACAAGGGUGUUGAUAUCUUUGGAGAUUUGGAUCGGUUAAUUCAUCAUUAUUUAUUAUCGGUGGCUGGGAACUAUGGACGACGAGGGAUUGGGAAAAAACUUAUUGAGCUUAGCUUACAAGAGGCAUCAGACAAGGGAAUAAAAGAAUGCUUCGCAGAAACGACUGGAAAGUAUUCUGGGAAAAUAUUUGAGCAACUUGGAUUUAUGAAGAUUCGUAUGAUCAAAUAUAAGGAUUUUGAGGAGACGAGAAGUAUAGAUCUUGAUUUAAGGCAAACUACGGCAUGAAUGAAAAAUGCUUUAAUGAAGUGUUAUAAACAGUGGUUGACCAAUUAUCAGAAGCCAUGAUACCAAUCUUAUUAAGAUUUUGAAAUAGCUCACAGCUUAAUAUAAGCUAAUUUGAGCACAACCAAUUAACAUUCAAAACACUAAUGAGGGGACUUAAAUCAAUAGGUUGCAAGGACACUUUGUAGAAAUUGUUCAUGAUUUGGGGAUACGAAUGUAAAAAGUGUUCAUGAUGAAGCCAUUGUAUGGAGAAAGAUUCUUUAAUGUCGUUCGUAUUUUCAUUACUUGAUGAGUUGUUACUUAAGGCAUGAUUGAAUGCAAAUAACAUUGUUGACUUCUGAGUGUGUUCUUCAAAUAAUUGUUGAUAUAUUAAAUAUACAUAUACUAUUCUCAAUUA